rnacentral:rRNA from 1 species
GACGAACGCUGGCGGCGCGCCUAACACAUGCCAGUCGAGCGAUGAAAUUUUAACCGAUCUCUUCGGAGAGAAGAUAAAAUGGAUUAGCGGCGGACGGGUGAGUAACACGUGAGAAACCUGCCUUUCACAAGGGGAUAGCCUCGGGAAGCCGGGAUUAAUACCCUAUGACACAUUUCCUUCGCAUGGAAGAAAUGUUAAAACUCCGGUGGUGAAAGAUGGUCUCGCGCCUGAUGAGCUAGUUGGUGGGGUAACGGCCCACCAAGGCCAUGAUCAGUAACCGGCCUGAGAGGGUGAACGGUCACAUUGGAACUGAGACACGGUCCAAACUCCUACGGGAGGCAGCAGUGGGGAAUAUUGCACAAUGGAGGAAACUCUGAUGCAGCGACGCCGCGGGAGCGAUGAAGGCUUUCGAGUCGUAAAGCUCUGUCCUAUGGGAAGAUAAUGACGGUACCAUAGGAGGAAGCCCCGGCUAACUACGUG